GACGAACGCUGGCGGCGUGCCUAAUACAUGCAAGUCGAGCGAAGUUUUUCUGGUGCUUGCACCGGAAAAACUUAGCGGCGAACGGGUGAGUAACACGUAAAGAACCUGCCUCAUAGACUGGGACAACUAUUGGAAACGAUAGCUAAUACCGGAUAACAGCAUUAACUGCAUGGUUGAUGUUUGAAAGUUGGUUUUGUUAACACUAUGAGAUGGCUUUGCGGUGCAUUAGCUAGUUGGUGGGGUAAAGGCCUACCAAGGCGACGAUGCAUAGCCGACCUGAGAGGGUGAUCGGCCACACUGGGACUGAGACACGGCCCAGACUCCUACGGGAGGCAGCAGUAGGGAAUCUUCCGCAAUGGGCGAAAGCCUGACGGAGCAACGCCGCGUGAGUGAAGAAGGAUUUCGGUUCGUAAAGCUCUGUUGUUAGGGAAGAAUGAUUAUAUAGUAACUAUACAUAGUAGAGACGGUACCUAACCAGAAAGCCACGGCUAACUACGUG
rnacentral:rRNA from 1 species